UUGUUUUCGUCUUCUUUGCAGGUACGGAGGCCAGCUGGUGUACGGAGCCGUACGGUGACGUGGCGCAGAGGCUCGAUGCAUGCUGAAGGCAGGAGCGGUGGCUGAGUUUAGGGUUUUGGUCUCUAGGGUUUGCUGUUGAUUUUCUCUGUUUUGGGCUGCGAGUAUUUGGGCUUGGUUUUGGGUUUAGGCUAGUUGGGUUUGGGUUAAAGCUGUUUAGGCUACUCGGGUUGAAGCUGUUUUUUUUUUUGGGUAGUGGAUUUGGGCCAUUAGCCCUGCUGUAAUUGAUUGUGGACAUUUUAAGAUUUUGGGUUUAUUUUAUUUGGUUUAUUUUUGCUUAUUUAUUUCUAAUUUGGGCCAGACAAAUUUGGGUUAUUACAGGUAGUACUGUGUGAAAAACCCCAAAUAUUUUUUGUUAUGCCGACAUGUUAAAUGAGAUAUGAGUAUGUGAUUGGAACGUGAUAAGUUGCGAAAGAGUGACUGAAGUGAUGAAGUCUUG
rnacentral:lncRNA from 1 species